UGGACAGAUUAUUGUAUUCGACUGUAUUCAUGUGUGAAACAGGGGAUUACACUAUUUUUAAAUGGAAAGUGAAUCAAUUAACAUAACAAACGCCU
rnacentral:pre_miRNA from 1 species